ensembl:lncRNA
UGCUUGACCUUGAAGCAAUCCUUUUUGAGGCAGAGGUGACGAAGGGGUUGGCAGGCAGGAUUUAUUGUGCUCCGAGGAAUGCAGAGGGAGCACAUGAACAUAAAUAUACAGAGAAACAGGAGCGGGAAUCAUAGAUGGAUCUGGCAGAUAAGACUUGGGCCUGUAUCUAUAAGUAGGUCAAAAGUGUGAUCGUAUCAUCUCCAAUGGAAAUACAAUUCAAAAUCUGGUCUGGGUGGUAUAUGAUGCCAGACAAGCUUCAUUGGAAACAUAAAACAUUAUCUCCAUUAUUCUGGUAAGACUGCAGAGUAAGUAGGAUAGUCAACAUAAAUAAUAGACUUGAGAAGUUAGGUGCAAAAUAUAUAAGGUAACUGGAAAUAUUGCACAGAAAACCAUCCUACUGAGCAAUGCCAAAGUUGUGUGGCCUGCAUGCUGAAGAACUUGGAGCGUUCACCAUAUCCAGUGGAAGCAGAAGAAAGCCAGUGGCAGAGUUACUUGUCCACUGAAGAGUAUGUGGGCAUGACACACCUGAGCUGAUUCCCCUGGUUCUCAUUACACAAAGAAAGAGGAAGAAAAGAGAAGCAGAAAGGUUGGAUGUUGCUAGCAGGUAGUGAAAGCUCUUGCAAAAAAGGUCUUUAGUACUUCAACUGGCCCAGAGAGAAAGGAGAAAAAAGAAUGAAAACAUAUUGAAAGAGAGUGGUAGUGGAGAGAAAUGAAAGGUGAUGAGAAGGUGUGGAAAAAAAGAAACAGAACAAGCAGAAUUGCAGAGUCAGAACAGACUACAUGUUUACUUUCUUUAAAAAGUUAUCUAAAGCUCCUCUUGGAAGCCUUGGCCACUUCCCAGGACAGGAUGCUAGACUGGAUGGAGUGACAGCCUAAUGCAUUUAAACAAUACCUAGGUACCACCCAGGCAAAGAGAAAACUGGAGUUUUUAUUUGAAUUUCUUUUGCAACGUCUGAGUAAACAUUUACAAGACAAAGAAAAGUGGAAGUCCUAAUCUCUUAACCAGCAUCUCAAGACAAAGACCUCAGAUCUCUGAGUUCAGUUCCCUAAAACAUUCCUACCUAUUGCUCAGAUUCCACCAAUUAUUCCUUUUUCUUUCAUUUUUUUCCCCCUACUAUUAGCUCUUGAACUCCCUGGUUUGUUCUCGAUAUCUUUUGGGUGACUUUUCAAAAUUCAGAUCAUUCCAAAGUAAAAUCUCUAACCGUCCUUUCAACCAAGAGUCUUCUUUCUUUUUGACAUCACGACUUUUCUCUUUGAUAACUUCAAAUGCUUUUCCCUCUUUGCAGUGAGUACUUAAUUUUCACCAGUGGUUUUGCUUUUCUAGCAGACAUGGCAGUAGGACCCUGAAUGUUGUUUAUCUUCUUUGGCCACUGGUUACCUUCUUCUUCUUUUUUUUAAUUUUUUUUAAUUUUUUUUUUUACAUUUCAAUUAUUUUGAUAUAAACAACACUUUCAUUUGUUCAACAUUAUUGUGAGGGAUUUUGUUUUUCCUAAUUAUGCAAAAAUACCCUUGCUUUUAACAUUCAAUUAAAGCUGCCUUUAUGUGUUAACAGCAGCACAACGGAGGUUUUCAUCCUGGGCGCUCCUUUCUCUGACUGUGAAACAAAUAAAAGCCAAGCUUUCGCAUUUCA